rnacentral:rRNA from 1 species
UACGGGGGGAGCAAGCGUUGUUCGGAUUUACUGGGCGUAAAGGGCGCGUAGGCGGCCAGCACAAGUCAGUUGUGAAAUCUCCGAGCUUAACUCGGAAAGGUCAACUGAUACUGUGCGGCUAGAGUGCAGAAGGGGCAACUGGAAUUCUUGGUGUAGCGGUGAAAGUGCGUAGAUAUCAAGAGGAACACCUGCGGCGAAGGCGGGUUGCUGGGCUGACACUGACGCUGAGGCGCGAAAGCUAGGGGAGCGAACGGG